CAUGAAGCUGGAAUUGCUAGUAAUCACAGGUCAGCAUACUGUGGUGAAUACGUUCCCGGGCCUUGUACACACCGCCCGUCACACCAUGAGAGUUGAGAAUACCCGAAGCCCAUGUCAAAGUGGUCGAAGGUAGGCUUGAUGAUUGGGUGAAGUCGUAACAAGGUACC
rnacentral:rRNA from 1 species